ACCCGCUGAACUUAAGCAUAUCAGUAAGCGGAGGAAAAGAAACUAACUAGGAUUGCCCCAGUAGCGGCGAGUGAACAGGCAAAAGCUCAUGUUGAAAAUCCAUAGCACAAAGUUGUGGAAUUGUAAUCUAGAGAGGAUUUUCGGAGGGGAUGGUUGUAGCAUAAGUUCCUUGGAACAGGACGUCAUAGAGGGUGAAAACCCCGUGUUCGGCUACUACCGGAUCUAACGAAGGUUUUCGAAGAGUCGGGUUGUUUGGGAUUGCAGCCCUAAAUGGGAGAUAAACUUCUUCUAAAGCUAAAUAUUUAUGGGAAACCGAUAGCGAACAAGUACUGCGAAGGAAAGGUGAAAAGAACUUUGAAAAGAGGGUUAAAAGACUUGAAAUCGUUGAGAAGGAAGUGGUUAAAGAGUAAUCAUUUGUGUACAAUAAAUGUUUUGCUUCCCUGGCUUUAGCGCGUUUUAGUACUUCAUAGGCUGUGCGUGUUAAACGUUAGGUAGCUAGGCUGUCUUUGUAUGCAAGAGGCAACAUGAAGUUUAGUAAUGGGAAUAAACCAGCAGAACGACCCGCAAGGAGUCUGUUGAUGAAACCGUAAUUAAGCUUGAGGGGCCUGAGGGCGAUGUUGUCAAAAUGGCUUUAACUGUCCCGUCUUGAAACACGGUCCAUGGAGUGUAACCUACGCGCAAGUGUUAGGGUGGAAAAACCCGAACGCAUAAGGAAACUAAGGAAAUGUUGUUUACAGCAACAGCGGACCUAGCGUCUUUGACAAAGGGCUCCAGCAAGAGCGAGUAUGUUACGACCCGAAAGAUGAUGAACUUUACUUGAGUAGGGUGAAGCCAGGGGAAACUCUGGUGGAAGCUCGCAAGAUCUUCUGACGUGCAAAUCGAUUUCCAAACUUGAGUAAAGGGGCGAAAGACUAAUCGAAUCAUCUAGUAGCUGGUUCCCUCUGAAGUUUCUCUCAGGAUAGCUGGAACAAACCAAGCAGUUUUAUUAGGUAAAGCGAAUGAUUAGAGGAAUCGGAGCUCAAAGAGUUUUGACCUAUUCUCAAACUUUAAAUUGGUAAGAACCGGGGGUUAACUUAAUUGAACCUCUGGGCAGAAUGCUUGUUCCAAGUGGGCCAUUUUUGGUAAGCAGAACUGGCGAUGAGGGAUGAACCUAACGCUUAGAUAAGGUUCCUAAGUAUGCAUUCAUGAGAUCCCACAAAAGGUGUUGGUUCAUUAACACAGCAGGACAGUGGCCCUGGAAGUCGGAAUCUGCUAAGUAGUGUGUAACAACUAACCUGCCGAAUGAACUAGCCCUGAAAAUUUAAGGAGCUAAAAUGCAUCACCGAUACUAAGCCAUUACAGCAAAUUUGAGGCUGUGAUGAGUAAGAGGGCGUGUCCGUCUCGUGUAGAAGCCUUUAGUGUGAACUUGGGUGGAACGGCGGAUAGUGCAGAUCUUGGAGGUAGUAGCAAAUAUAAAUGUGAGAACCAUUUAGAUCGAAGUGGGGAAGGGUUUCUUGUGAACAGCAAUUGGACAAGAGUUACUCGAUCCUAAGGCAUAGGGCAAGUCCUUGGAAUGCAAAACAGUGUAUACUGUUGCUGCCAAAAGGGAAACAGGUUAAUAUUCCUGUAGUCGACCUCGGAUAAUGUGGCAACACAAAUGAGCCUGCAGACCUCAGCAUGAACCACUGGAAGAGUUGUCUUUUCUUUUUAACUGCUUAUGGCCCUGAAAUUGGAUUAUCCAGAGAAAGGGCUGUAAGGCAGGCAGAGCAGCUCACCCUAUGAGCUGUCAGUUGAGUUCUUGAUGAGCCUUGAAAACGCAGGGGAGAUUUUUAUUUCGAGUCGAAUCGUACCCAUAACCGCAUCAGGUCUCCAAGGUU
rnacentral:rRNA from 1 species